rnacentral:rRNA from 1 species
AAUUUAUACAUUCAAUAAGCGGAGGRRRRRAAACUAACARGGAUUCCCCUAGUAACUGCGAGUGAAGCGGGAAAAGCUCAAAUUUAAAAUCUGGCGACCUUUGGCCGUCCGAGUUGUAAUCUAGAGAAGUGUUAUCCGCGCUGGACCGUGUACAAGUCUCCUGGAAUGGAGCGUCAUAGAGGGUGAGAAUCCCGUCUUUGACACGGACUGCCAGGGCUUUGUGAUGCGCUCUCAAAGAGUCGAGUUGUUUGGGAAUGCAGCUCAAAAUGGGUGGUAAAUUCCAUCUAAAGCUAAAUAUUGGCGAGAGACCGAUAGCGAACAAGUACCGUGAGGGAAAGAUGAAAAGAACUUUGGAAAGAGAGUUAAACAGUACGUGAAAUUGCUGAAAGGGAAACGCUUGAAGUCAGUCGCGUUGUUUGGGAAUCAACCUUGCUUUUGCUGGGCGUACUUUCCAGAUGACGGGCCAGCAUCAAUUUUGACCGUUGGAUAAAGAUUGGAGGAAUGUGGCAUCUUCGGAUGUGUUAUAACCUUCAGUUGCAUACAACGGUUGGGAUUGAGGAACUCAGCACGCCGCAAGGCCGGGUACUCGUACCACGUUCGUGCUUAGGAUGCUGGCAUAAUGGCUUUAAUCGACCCGUCUUGAAACACGGACCAAGGAGUCUAACAUGCCUGCGAGUAUUUGGGUGGAAAACCCGAGUGCGUAAUGAAAGUGAAAGUUGAGAUCCCUGUCGCGGGGAGCAUCGACGCCCGGACCAGACCUUUUGUGACGGAUCUGCGGUAAWGCAUGUAUGUUGGGACCCGAAAGAUGGUGAACUAUGCCUGAAUAGGGUGAAGCCAGAGGAAACUCUGGUGGAGGCUCGUAGCGAUUCUGACGUGCAAAUCGAUCGUCAAAUUUGGGUAUAGGGGCGAAAGACUAUCGAACCUUAAGCCC